rnacentral:tRNA from 1 species
GAUUGUUUAGUUUAUAAAAAUAGGUGUUUUGAAAACACCAGAUAAGAAAAAUCAAUCUUAACAAUCG